rnacentral:lncRNA from 1 species
GAUACAACCCUUCGAAAUUAAACUCAAGUUAAUAUUAUACAUUCAUUUUAUAAGAAACAAACGUAUAAUAUUGAUCUGGGUUCACUCAACUCGUAAAAAUCUUUGAAUAGCCCAGUACGCAUGAACCCUAGAUUUGAAAUUUGAGCCUGACCAGUGAUACUUGGGGGAUUUUGGUGAAGAAGUUAUAAUGAGGGUUAUUAGGAGACUGUGUGGUAUGAAUUUGGGACCGUUCGGGCAAGGUUAUGUUUUGGACUGACUAUUCAAACUAAGAUUCGAGAAACCAGGGUUCGAUUCAAGGGAAAUUGGGGGCACCAUUUUAAAGAGGAGGGUGAGCAGAGCGAUUGGUGUUGUUUUGGUCCGAUUUUGAGGUAGUGCCGCCAGGUUUUAAGGGUGGUGGAUAUGGUGGCAGCGGAGAUUAGGAUUUUGAAAG